rnacentral:rRNA from 1 species
CCAGUGAACAAUUUAACGGCCGCGGUACCCUAACCGUGCAAAGGUAGCACAAUCACUUGUCUAUUAAUUGUAGACCUGUAUGAAAGGCAAAACGAGGGCCUAUCUGUCUCUUGUAGUAAAUCAAUUAAACUGAUCUCCCAGUCCAAAAGCUGGGAUGCCAACAUAAGACCAGAAGACCCUGUGAAGCUUAAACUAAACUAUUAAAUCCUAUAAUAGCUCCUUUCGGUUGGGGCGACCCUGGAAAAAAAAAGAACUUCCAAACAUACUGACCUUACAGUCACCUACCCUAGGCCAACAAGCCUAACAACGACCCAGCACAGCUGAUAAUUGAACCAAGUUACUCCAGGGAUAACAGCGCUAUCUUCUUCAAGAGCCCAUAUCAAAAAGAAGGUUUACGACCUCGAUGUUGGAUCAGGACAUCCUAAUGGUGCAGCCGCUAUUAAGGGUUCGUUUGU